rnacentral:rRNA from 1 species
UACGGAGGAUCCAAGCGUUAUCCGGAAUCAUUGGGUUUAAAGGGUCCGUAGGCGGCCUUAUAAGUCAGUGGUGAAAGUUUGCAGCUUAACUGUAAAAUUGCCAUUGAUACUGUAGGGCUUGAAUUUUUGUGAAGUAACUAGAAUAUGUAGUGUAGCGGUGAAAUGCUUAGAUAUUACAUGGAAUACCAAUUGCGAAGGCAGGUUACUAACAAACGAUUGACGCUGAUGGACGAAAGCGUGGGGAUCAAACAGG